GAAGCCUAGAGGAUUUUUAUUUUUUUUUUUAACAAUGGCUAUUUCUAGAUUGAUGUACGUGCAAGAAUGUACUUCCACUGCGACUACAGCAUGUGAAACAAGGUCUGUAUGGGAUAUAGGGCAAGUUCUACCCAGCUAGAAUUUCAAUUUCCAACGUUGCUAUUAAUUGCUCGCUAAAAAUCUUGUAAGAGUUAACCAAGGAUGGUAGCUCUCCACCCAAACUGCAGUGCAUUCUCUCAUCCAGAAUACAUGUAUGGUACACGGGGAAGAAGUUCCCCUUUUUGGUCACCAAGCUGUAUGGCACCAGGAGCACGUGGGCUUGAUGUGUGAUCAAGCAGCGGAUGAAGACGCCUUUGGAUCUGGUGAUCGACCCUCUGAUAGCAUGUGACAGGUCUUGUCAUACCGACAGCAACAUGCUUCAAUCAAAACCAAGAGAAGGUUUUGAGCUGUGAAAGUGUUGUUAAGCAGCUGCCUGGCUACGAGUUACCAGUUCACUAUGGAUUUUAAACGAUACAGAAAUGUAUCUUGCAGGGAAGACACCUAUUAUGGUUUUACAGAUUGCGGUUGGACUUGCAAACACCAGUCUCAUCUAGAAGACAUAAAGGCUUCUCUUCUUCUGAAUUUGAGAGGAAAUGUGUUUCAAGACUUGAUUUGGAAAUACAGGAACUGGUAUCAGAAAAGGUCCCUUCUCUCUGAAUUCCUGCAUGAGGUAAGGAGAAAGAAGCUUCUGAAUUUGCUUUUAAGGCAAGAAGGAGAACUCACAGGAGAGCCACCAUUAUCGCCGCCCCAUCUCCAACUGACGACUGAAAUUCCAUUUCCAUUUCUUGUUAAUAAUAAAUACCAGCGAGGCCAGAGCCAUUCUCAUUCUGACCCCUGGCUGUAUUCCCACUACUUAAUGUCACGGCGGCGCCAUGCACAGAGCAUGCACAAAGGUCUCAACUCUGCAGAGCCCAGCCAGGCUCAGAGGUGGCUGCUGCCGACCCUCCUGGGCUGCCUCCAGUCCUCCUGCGCAGGCUGCAGGUACCCGUGCCAGUGUUUGCUCUGCAGAAAGCAACUGGAACAUGACAGGAUCCUUAAUGGCUAUUAACACAGCUUAACAAAGCCAAAGCGUGUUAUCUUAGAGCUACAUCCCCCGUCCGCCCGCUUCAGCUUUCUCCUAACUUGUAAUAUAAUGAAUGCUUGGCAUGAACCACGAGCGAAUACUGCUGUUUGCACUAUUUUUAAAGCUAGCUCAGUACAAAGAUCUGUGUCAUCAUCUGCAUGUGUCUGUCUACCUGCGUUUGUCUUUCCUCAUCUACACAUCUUUUUACAUGUAACCGUAGCACAGGGUGCCAGCCUCGGGGUGGGGGAAAAGCCCCAUCCUGUUCUAAAAUUAUCCGCUUCGUUAAGACUUGUCUUUCUCUACUUAGAACACAUUUUGACAAAGAGGGACGGCUGCUCCUUUAGCAUUCACAUUUGCCAUAUUAACGAUGACAACUUCUCACAACCCAGCGGAGCACGGAGCUUUGUUCUGGGUAGCAGCCCACAGGAACUAACAACUCCGUACCCUUCGUUCCUUCUUCAAGUUCCCAGUGCCCACAGGAAUAACAUUAAAAGACUCUCAGAAAACACAGCUUUGCCUCUCUACAGACUUUUUUCCUUUAAAAUCAAGCCUGCACUUCUCCUUCUUGGGACCUGCAGCUGGGACAAGAGUUCAGCCUGCCUGGGCUCCUGUCCCAACAAGAGGCAGUGUCAGUUUUGUUACUGGUUUCUUUUUUCCUUGCUCUAAACUCUUCCUGAAUCUUCCCCUUCUACCUCACAUCCUUUCCCAUCUGCUUUCCUCCCUGUCUAAAUAUUAUUUCAUUGCUUACAUUUUACCUGCAUCAGUAUUUUCCUUUCUGUGAGGGACUUUUCCCCUAUAUUCCACUUCAAAACCUCUGCCCUGCCGACUAUCAGGCCCCGCUCCCUCCACCACCUUGCUCCUGACCCUCUCCCCAGUGCAGCCGUCUUCUCCGUUGCCAUUCCUCACCUUCCUCCUCUGCUCUCUCCCUUCUGCCCUGACUGCUCAGGGCUCUCUCCCUCGUCCCCAGAGCAGCCACCCGCAGGGAUGUCCCCGUCCCCUUCCCCCUCGCCCAGCACCAUUCCCAUAAGCAGGAAAUACAGACGGCAGCUAAGGGGCCUUAUACAUGUGUUUCAAAAGCUUGAUAUACAUAAAUAAAAGCAAGUUGGUGACUAAUUUAUUUUCUCAGUAUCUAUUAAACACAGCAUAAAUUGCCCUGGACAUACUCAGGCUGGAAAUGAGAAGAAGGUUUAUAACCACCAGAAGAAAGACAGCCUCUCAGUAGGAGUAGUGAGGGCAAGAAACCUAAAUGGUUUCAAGAUGCAACUAGAUAAGCGUUUGAAAGGCAUCAUAUGAUGUGGUUGCCUUCAACAGCAGGGGACAGGACUUGAUGACUUAGGAAGUUCCUUUCAGUAUUAAUUCUUAUCUUCCUGUGUGGGCCCAACGUCACCCAUGGCAGCCCCUGUGCACUGGGGACAGGAGGUAUGGCGAAGGUUGCUGCUGGCCUUACAAACCAGGGGCAAAGGAACUGGUAAAGAGCUCUAAAGUAUGUUUUAAAAGGAUGGUCAAGCAUUCAGGCUGCUCGUGUGUGAGCGUAACACGCUCCAAUGCCCUCUCUGCUUUUUUCCCAUGCAGAACAGGAGAGCAGCUAGGAUCCUUUUUGUCCAAUUUCUGAAAAGCCUCCUGCCUUUGGCUGGGAACACUCAGGCUCAGCAGCAGCCGAGGGGGUGUUUGCUGUGUGUGCACGGUUUCAGAGCAAUCAACACGCUAAAUUACAAAGUAAAAUUAAGCUAAAAAGCAAAAUCCAACAUCACCCACAGGGUUCAGCCAUACUCUUACUGGUACAGAGGCUGCAGAAGGAGGGCCCACAGCGACAGCCUGGGCACGAGCUCGCCAUCACCUGUGGCCAAGCCAGGAGAGCUCGAGGAGGCAUCUCCCCUCAGCUGAGCUCUCCCUGCCAGCAGCCCCUGCUGCAAGCUCAAAAUCUGUUGGUUAAAUCUUUAUUGGAAGGUUGAUUUAGCAUCUUCAGUGAAAGAAAAGACAUAUUUCCUUGCAGUGGAGGCAGGCUACAGGCACAGACACAGGCACUCGCAGCAGCUCAGCUGAAGGGAGAUAACUUUUUAAGCUGUUUUAAUUCACCUGCCCCAAACUGCUGCAAGUGGUAGCAGCUGGGGAUGACACGGUCCGCAGCGAUGCUUGCAGGGCGAGUUGACAUCUGCAAAUCUUCUAAGACCUACAUAACACAAAACGCAAAGUCCCGCCGUACCAGCUCUGCCUGUCAUUUAUUAUUUGCUCCUUUGCCUGCAGCUCCUUUUGAAGCUUUAAAAGCUUUUGUUUUUGAUAGUAAAAGGAUAUUUGUGCCUUGCCUGUAGAAACGUCAGCCCUGUAUUGUUCAGUCCACAAUAAAAUAUGUGUUUCAGUUUGA